rnacentral:lncRNA from 13 species
ACAGGGAGAAAAGGCAGUUACUGUGCUGGCUGGAGUGACUGAUCUUGACUACCAGGGAAAAAUUGGACUACUACUCCACAGUACGGAAGAAUACGGCAGGUCCCUUAAGGCAUCUCUUAGUAUUGCUAUGUCCUGUCAUUAAGGUAGCGGUACUCCAUGUUUCAAGGUUCAGCAAUCAGAAGAUAUAUAAAAUGGAACUAAGUAUUCCAACACCUGUUUUCUCUUAUUUGUACACCUGGUUGAGAAAAUGCUGCAAAAUGAACAUUCCAAAAGAGCAGCCUUCUUCAAUAACAACAAAAAUUCAAGAGUAUGAAGAAAUGCAUCCACCUGAAAAGUUUUUUACAUAUACAAUCUUCAAGGUAUGAGAAACUCUAGUCUCACAGGGAUCUAAGGAUUCAACACAUUGAUGAAAUAUUGCUAUUUCUACCUCAAAUCAAAAUCCCAUUCAAAGGAAAAACACCUUUUGACACUGAAAUAGAGUGAGCAUGUGAUUUGCAGAUAUGUCAGAGACUUUUGGCUAAAUUCUGGAAAAUUUGUAAAAACUCAUUAAAUUAUACAUGCAUAUAUGUAGAAAAGUUGUAAUUAUAAUUUCAUAAAAUCAAACUCAUAUAUGUCUCUCUGUGUUUAUGUUAAUGAAUUAUAAUUUGAGAAGACAUUACAUUCAAAUUCUGUCAUUCAGACUCCCAAAUUAUAUCACAUACGUACUCAAAAUUGUUUCCCAGAUGGGCAGAGUUGAGUUCAAGAUAAAAUUAAAUGGGUUAUUACCAAAAUACUUGACCUAAAAGUAUAUUGGAAUAUUUAGUCAAAUAUUGGGACAACAAUCAAUAAAGCAUGUAUAAUUGAUUUCA